CUUCGGACGAGUCUCGAGACGGUAGUUUCGAUCCUGGCUCACGGACGACGCUGCGGCGUGCUUAACACAUGCAAGUCGAACGGAAGGCCCUUUCGGGGGUGCUCGAGUGGCGAACGGGUGAGUAACACGUGGGUGAUCUGCCCUGCACUUUGGGAUAAGCCUGGGAAACUGGGUCUAAUACCGGAUAGGACUACGAAUCGCAUGGUUUGUGGUGGAAAGCUUUUGCGGUGUGGGAUGGGCCCGCGGCCUAUCAGCUUGUUGUGGGGUGAUGGCCUACCAAGGCGACGACGGGUAGCCGGCCUGAGAGGGUGUCCGGCCACACUGGGACUGAGAUACGGCCCAGACUCCUACGGGAGGCAGCAGUGGGGAAUAUUGCACAAUGGGCGCAAGCCUGAUGCAGCGACGCCGCGUGAGGGAUGACGGCCUUCGGGUUGUAAACCCCUUUCGGUAGGGACGAAGCGUAAGUGACGGUACCUAUAGAAGAAGCACCGGCCAACUACGUG
rnacentral:rRNA from 1 species